rnacentral:lncRNA from 1 species
UGUGGUUUCACACUUUUUUAUUUUAGUACCCUGUGGUUUAAAGUGUAUCAAGUUAGUACCCUGUGGUUUUUCACUUUAUCACUUUAGUACCUUAUGGUCUAAAGUGUAUCAAGUUAGUACCCUGUGGUUUCACACUUUAUCACUUUAGUAUCCUGUGAUUUAAAAAACCACAGGAUACUAACUUGAUGCAAAAUUAAAAUCAUAGGGUACUAAAGUGAUAAAGUGCAAAACCACAGGGUACUAACUUGAUACACUUUAAACCACAGGGUAUUAAAGCGAUAAAGUGAGAAACCACAGGGUACUAACUUGAUACAUUUUAAAUCACAGGGUACUAAAGUGAAAAAAAUUGAAACCACAAGAGGGGUUUUUGAAGUUUUUUCUAAAAUCAACGCAAGGAAGGUU